GCUGUUACACCUGCGGGAACUCACUGGUGGAAUUGCUAUUCCUACCCUGAUCUGACAUGUCUAGCCAUGUACUCCAUAGGGACUUACAGGCUACUGGGACAAGCCCCUACCACUCUUCUCAGGAAUGUGUUAUACCCUGUCAAGAGUGGUAAGAAUUUUAACCCUUACUCUUUCUGAACUAGGGCCUUCCUUAUUUCUCCUCUCUGCUUCUAAGAGUCCCUGAAUCAGCUCCAACUUACACACCUGGUGAACAAGAAGGAGUACUUUGUGAUGCCUGAACUAGGAGGGCUGAAAUCAUUCUAAGAAACAAAGGUGAGUCCCAGAAAAACUAUUUAUAAAAUCUAGCAAAAUAAUAAGAAGAAAAAGUGGUGGCCUCUGGGAAGGAAAACUGAAUAAGAAGAUGGGGUGCCUGGGUGAUUCAGUCGGUUAAGCUGAUGCCUUCGGCUC